rnacentral:rRNA from 1 species
CCCUUAGACGUUCUGGGCCGCACGCGCGCUACACUGACACAGGCAACGAGCUUUCCUUUACCGAAAGGUAUGGGUAGUCUUUUGAAACUGUGUCGUGCUGGGGAUAGAUCCUUGCAAUUUUUGAUCUUAAACGAGGAAUUCCUAGUAAGCGCGAGUCAUCAACUCGCGUUGAUUACGUCCCUGCCCUUUGUACACACCGCCCGUCGCUACUACCGAUUGAAUGGCUUAGUGAGGCCUCAGGAUCCGCGCUUAAUGUGUGGAGAAUUUGGACAAACUACGUCAUUUAGAGGAAGUAAAAGUCGUAACA